rnacentral:rRNA from 1 species
GAUGAACGCUGGCGGUAUGCUUAACACAUGCAAGUCGAACGGACUCUUCGGAGUUAGUGGCGGACGGGUGAGUAACGCGUGAGAUUCUGGCUUUGGGUUCGGGACAACCACUGGAAACGGUGGCUAAUACCGGAUGUGCCGAGAGGUAAAAGAGAAAUUGCCUGAAGAUGAGCUCGCGUCUGAUUAGCUAGUUGGUGAGGUAAAGGCUCACCAAGGCAGCGAUCAGUAGCUGGUCUGAGAGGAUGACCAGCCACACUGGGACUGAGACACGGCCCAGACUCCUACGGGAGGCAGGGGGGAGGAAUGUUCCGGAAUGGGCGAAAGUGUGACGGAGCAGUACCGCGUGAGGGAAGAUGGAUCUUGGGAUGUAAACCUCUUUGCUUAGGGAAGAACAAUAUGACGUUACCAAAGGAAUAAGCAUCGGCUAACUUCGUG